rnacentral:lncRNA from 1 species
UAGGCCCGUCACUUAUGCUUUGAAGCUUUCCUUUUGAUCUAAUGUCAUCAAUCUAGACACAAGUACUUGGAUCAUGCUUCUCAGUUCUUUAUAAACAAAUCCACUCAAAGAAAAGUUAUUUAUAAGUGGGCUAUUUUUCUACUAUACCUGCCUAUUGCUUGUCGGAUUUGCGUACUAAAUUUGUGUGUUCUUUUUAUGCAAAUUGAUAAUUCCUUUCAUUUUAUAUAGGUUUGCGAAAAUUCUACUAGAUAUUACUCCCUCC